UACGUAGGGAGCAAGCGUUGUUCGGAUUUACUGGGCGUAAAGGGCGCGUAGGCGGCCGAUUAAGUCAGCUGUGAAAUCUCCGAGCUUAACUCGGAACUGUCAGCUGAUACUGUUUUGCUAGAGUGCGGAAGGGGCAAUCGGAAUUCUUGGUGUAGCGGUGAAAUGCGUAGAUAUCAAGGGGAACACCUGAGGUGAAGACGGGUUGCUGGGCCGACACUGACGCUGAGUGCGCGAAAGCCAGGGGAGCAAACGGG
rnacentral:rRNA from 1 species